rnacentral:rRNA from 1 species
UACGUAGGGUGCAAGCGUUAAUCGGAAUUACUGGGCGUAAAGCGUGCGCAGGCGGUUUGUAAGUUUGUCGUGAAAUCCCCGGGCUCAACCUGGGAAUGGCGAUGAAGACUGCAAGGCUAGAAUCUGGCAGAGGGGGGUAGAAUUCCACGUGUAGCAGUGAAAUGCGUAGAGAUGUGGAGGAACACCGAUGGCGAAGGCGAGUCCCUGGACAACACCUGACACUGAGGCACGAAAGCUAGGGGAGCAAACAGG